AGGAGCCGGAGGUGGCUGCGGGGGGCUCCGGCCCAGGCGUAGGAAGGGCAAGAGGCGGUUCGGGCCGGGGGCGGUGCCAGGAGGGAGGUUGUCUAUGCAACAGAGGGGUAUGAUGAAUGCUGAAAUAAGCGCUUUUUGCAACAAGAAAGAAAUAUGAACUCAAAGGAAGCCACCAGCAGAAUUUCUCUUCUCUGGCCUUCAUUCACAAAGUUUGAAGAGGCUUGUCUGGUGGCUGUGUGAAGCAGGCCAGUGAAGGAAUCUCUCUGGAUCUGUUUUCACCUGGGGAUUACAGAUAUGCACCACCACACAGGGCCGGGAAUUGAACCCAGGGUAAUAUACAUGCCAGGCAACAUUCAAGGGCUGGAGAGACAAACGAUCUGACUCAGUCAUUUGUCUGAGUCAUCAAGGUCUCAUGUGGCACUCGCUGUCCUGGAAUUCGAUGUGAAGACCGGUCUGGCCUUGAACUCACAAAGAUCUUUUGUUUCUGCCCUUGGGGUGCUGGGAUCAAAGGUAGGUGCCACCACACCCAGCCCAAGAGAGUUUCUUGAGAAGAAUAUCUAGAUGGAGUGUUCCUCCAUUCUUCAUUUCUGUAACGAAGCACACCUUAGCUUGGGGAGGUAGCUCUGCUGGUGGAUUGCUUGCCUAGUGUACCCAAGGAGCUAGCCCCAGCCUCGCAAGAAACAAAACAAAACAGUUCCCCACAAGUUUACACAGUCCUAGUUUUGGGGGCUCAAGGGCAUGGUGCCGGCCUCAGCAUGGCUCCGGUGGGAACCUCAUGUCUGACAGCCCUCACAGUGACAGGAAUUCUGUGAAAGACAGAUCAUACGCUGGAAGCAGGGAAGGAAUUCAGGCAAAGCUCAGGACUGUAUGGCAGCACACUUGCUUUGAGCAACCAGCAUUCCCUUAGGAGGACAGGUUCCCCAGUGGCCCAAACACCUCCCGCCAGGCCCAAUCUCGUUCAGGUUCCAUCACCUCUCACAGCAGCACACCAGGGACUAAGCUUCCUACCCAUGAAUCCUCGGGGGAUGUGCCACUUGUAAACCAUGGCAGAUGGCAAGUCAGAUGGGAUAGGGUUGGGGAAAGAUGGUCCAGAGAGGCCAGUAGCAGGGAACCAGACGGAUUAGUCUUUCGGAGACUCUCCCGUGGACAAAGUGUCCUUCAUUCAGGAAGAACGUAUCAGGAGCCCUCUGAGGUGAAGCUGGGAACAGCUGGUCUUCAGGGAGGAGGAGAGAAUACACAAUUUUACUCUCCUCUGGGGAGACCUCUGACAAGAGCACAGGAGGCCUUCCUGGGAGGGUGAACUAAACAGAGCACAAGGAAGGAGCACCCUUGUGUGAGACAGAGGACUCAGUGGUAAAGAGCACUGGCUGCUCUUGCAGAGGACCGGACAGUCCCAGCACCCACAUGGCGGCUCAUAACCAUCUCUCACUCCAGUUUCAGGAAGCUGGAAUGCCCUCCUCUGACUUGUAUGGGUCCCAGACACACAAGUGCUAUACAGACAUACACAUUAAAAAAAAAAAAAAAAAAGGUGGCAAGCAAGCCUCAGGAUACAUGGUACCAUACCACCUCGUUCACAAUAAAGCAAAAUG